rnacentral:rRNA from 1 species
CUGGGACUGAGAUACGGCCCAGACUCCUACGGGAGGCAGCAGUGAGGAAUCUUCCGCAAUGGGCGAAAGCCUGACGGAGCAAUGCCGCGUGCAGGAUGACGGCCUUCGGGUUGUAAACUGCUUUUAUAUGGGAAGAUUAUGACGGUACCAUAUGAAUAAGGACCGGCUAACUACGUGCCAGCAGCCGCGGUAAUACGUAGGGUCCAAGCGUUAUCCGGAAUCACUGGGCGUAAAGCGUGCGUAGGCGGAUGUUUAAGUGUAAUGCGAAAUCCUGUGGCUCAACCAUAUGGACUGUAUUGCAUACUGGAUAUCUUGAGGAAUGCAGAGGCAAGUGGAAUUACCGGUGUAGCAGUGAAAUGCGUAGAGAUCGGUAGGAACACCAAUGGCGAAGGCAGCUUGCUGGGCAUUAUCUGACGCUAAGGCACGAAAGCGUGGGGAGCGAACAGGAUUAGAUACCCUGGUAGUCCACGCCGUAAACGAUGCAUAUUAUUAGUAUGGAGUAUCGACCCUCUGUGCUGAAAAGCUAACGCGAUAAAUAUGCCGCCUGGGGAGUACGGCCGCAAGGCUAAAACUCAAAGGAAUUGACGGGGCUCCGCACAAGCAGUGGAGGAUGUGGUUUAAUCCGAAGCUACGCGCAGAACCUUACCAAGGCUUGAAAUCCCUAUCGUACUCCUAGGAAACUAGGAGGUCAGUUCGGCUGGAUAGGUGACAGAUGCUGCAUGGCCGUCGUCAGCUCGUGUCGUGAGAUGUUGGGUUAAGUCCCGCAACGAGCGCAACCCUUGUCGUCUGUUGUCUUUUCAGGCGAGACCGCCCGGGCCAACCGGGAGGAAGGUGGGGAUGACGUCUGGUCAGCAUGGCCCUUACACCUCGGGCCACACACGUCCUACAAUGGGUAGUACAAAGGGCAGCCAAGCCGUAAGGCGGAGCAAAUCCCAUCAAAACUACCCCCAGUUCGGAUAGAGGGCUGAAACUCGCCCUCUUGAAGUCGGAAUCGCUAGUAAUGGCGCGUCAGCAUAGCGCCGUGAAUACGUUCCCGGGUCUUGUACACACCGCCCGUCAAAUCACGAAAGUUGGGAGUGCCCGACGUGCCGUCUUUAGCACGGCCCUAAGGUAAGCCCAGCGAUUGGGGUUAAGUCGUAACAAGGUAUCCGUACCGGAAGGUGCGGAUG